UCAAGGAAGAAUUUUGACGGUACUUGAGGAAUAAGCAUCGGCUAACUCUGUGCCAGCAGCCGCGGUAAUACAGAGGAUGCAAGCGUUAUCCGGAAUCACUGGGUGUAAAGAGUUGCGUAGGUGGCAUGGCAAGCGAGUAGUGAAAGCGUUCGGCUCAACCGAAUAAACAUUACUUGAACUGCCAAGCUAGAGGAUGAGAGAGGUAAUUGGAAUUCCCAGUGUAGGAGUGAAAUCCGUAGAUAUUGG
rnacentral:rRNA from 1 species